CGUGGACGUUUGCCCUCAGGGGCGAGGCGCGACACGAAAAGCAUCCGUGGAGCUCAAGUUUGAGGUGAAACCAGGCUCAGGGUCCACCUGUCCUCUCUGAUCCAUGGAUUUCUGUGUGACCAGAAUGACCCCUGCUCAGUAUUCCACAUCCCCAUG